rnacentral:lncRNA from 1 species
GCAUUGUAAAAGAGAAAGUCACAACGUGUGAGGAGGGCUGAAUCUAUUUGGGAUCAUGUGCAACAAACUUCACACGUGAGAGAGGAUGCAAGUUGCUUAGGAGGCUAAGAAGAACCUAGAAGGUAGUUUAGGCUAUAAAUAAGAGUUUAUGAAGAAUAGAGAGGCAUGUUGAUAAUCAAGGAAUUAGCCGCUUUGAGGUUGCAUGGUGAGAGAAGGAUCUGAGAAAAUGUCGUAGAUCCUUAUCUUAUAUUUCAUUUGUUCCUCAUUUUUAUCUUUGUAAUCUCUGUAUUUUGGGACUUCUGAU